GCAGUAUCCUAACUGUGCUAAGGUAGCAUAAUCAUUAGUCUUUUAAUUGGGGACUGGUAUGAAUGGCUUAACGAGAAAUUGACUUUUUUUGUUAUGUAAAUUGAACUUAAUUUUUUAGUGAAAAAGCUAAAAUUUUUCAGAAAGACGAGAAGACCCUAUAGAGUUUUAUUUUUUUAUAUAUUUCUUUUUAUUAGAUUUGUUAAAAAUAAGUAUAUUAAAAAUAUUUUGUUGGGGCGACAUUAAGAUAUAAAAAACUCUUUAUUUUUAUUAUUUUAUUGAAAAUAUGUUUUUGAUCCUUUAAAAAAGAUCAUAAGAAAAAAUUACCUUAGGGAUAACAGCGUAAUCUUUUUUGAGAGUUCUAAUCGACAAAAAGGUUUGCGACCUCGAUGUUGGACUAAAAUUUAAGCAAGGUGUAGCAGCUUUGUUUUUGGGUCUGUUCGACCUAUA
rnacentral:rRNA from 1 species